AACGAACGCUGGCGGCAUGCCUAACACAUGCAAGUCGAACGAGACCUUCGGGUCUAGUGGCGCACGGGUGCGUAACGCGUGGGAACCUGCCCUUAGGUUCGGAAUAACUCCCCGAAAGGGGUGCUAAUACCGGAUAAUGUCUUCGGACCAAAGAUUUAUCGCCUUUGGAUGGGCCCGCGUUGGAUUAGCUAGUUGGUAGGGUAAAAGCCUACCAAGGCGACGAUCCAUAGCUGGUCUGAGAGGAUGAUCAGCCACACUGGGACUGAGACACGGCCCAGACUCCUACGGGAGGAAGCAGGGGGGAAUAUGGGACAAUGGGCGAAAGCCUGAUCCAGCAAUCCGCGUGAGUGAUGAAGGCCUUAGGGUUGUAAAGCUCUUUUACCCGGGAUGAUAAUGACAGUACCGGGAGAAUAAGCUCCGGCUAACUCCGUG
rnacentral:rRNA from 1 species